rnacentral:rRNA from 1 species
AGCUUGCUGCUUCGCUGACGAGUGGCGGACGGGUGAGUAAUGUCUGGGAAACUGCCUGAUGGAGGGGGAUAACUACUGGAAACGGUAGCUAAUACCGCAUAACGUCUCAAGACCAAAGAGGGGGACCUUCGGGCCUCUUGCCAUCGGAUGUGCCCAGAUGGGAUUAGCUAGUAGGUGGGGUAACGGCUCACCUAGGCGACGAUCCCUAGCUGGUCUGAGAGGAUGACCAGCCACACUGGAACUGAGACACGGUCCAGACUCCUACGGGAGGCAGCAGUGGGGAAUAUUGCACAAUGGGCGCAAGCCUGAUGCAGCCAUGCCGCGUGUAUGAAGAAGGCCUUCGGGUUGUAAAGUACUUUCAGCGGGGAGGAAGGGAGUAAAGUUAAUACCUUUGCUCAUUGACGUUACCCGCAGAAGAAGCACCGGCUAACUCCGUGCCAGCAGCCGCGGUAAUACGGAGGGUGCAAGCGUUAAUCGGAAUUACUGGGCGUAAAGCGCACGCAGGCGGUUUGUUAAGUCAGAUGUGAAAUCCCCGGGCUCAACCUGGGAACUGCAUCUGAUACUGGCAAGCUUGAGUCUCGUAGAGGGGGGUAGAAUUCCAUGUGC